UACGUAGGUGGCGAGCGUUAUCCGGAUUAAUUGGGCGUAAAGGGUGCGCAGGCGGUUUAUUAAGUCUAAGAUAAAAGCCCGAAGCUUAACUUCGGUUUGUUUUAGAAACUGGUAGGCUAGAGUAUGGUAGAGGCAAAUGGAAUUCCUAGUGUAGCGGUGGAAUGCGUAGAUAUUAGGAGGAACACCAGUGGCGAAGGCGAUUUGCUGGGCCAUUACUGACGCUCAUGCACGAAAGCGUGGGGAGCAAAUA
rnacentral:rRNA from 1 species